UACGGGGGGGGGCAAGCGUUGUUCGGAAUUACUGGGCGUAAAGGGUUCGUAGGUGGCCAACUCAGUCAGACGUGAAAUCCCUCAGCUCAACUGGGGAACUGCGUCUGAUACUAGAUGGCUCGAGUGCAGGAGAGGAACGCGGAAUUCCAGGUGUAGCGGUGAAAUGCGUAGAUAUCGGAAGGAACACCAGUGGCGAAAGCGGCUUCCUGGUCCAGCACCGACGUUCAGGCACGAAAGCGUGGGAGCAAACAGGG
rnacentral:rRNA from 1 species